rnacentral:sRNA from 1 species
UCAGGAUUUCUUACAGUGGCAGUGGCUUUUUAAUUUCCUGAUACGCCGAUGAAGCGGAUAGCUGACAUCUGAUAUUUUUGUAUAGGAUACAUACAGAUAUACAUCCAUGUGCUAAACUCGAGGAGAGUUAAUUCCAAGAUCUGGAAGUCACUCUGUGAAACUAUAUGGAGAACCCACAUUCAGCAAUCCACAAAUGUACACCAAAUCAUUGCUGCCGUGAAUCUGAAGCACGGAAGGGAGUGUGAUGUGGAACCUGGAAACGACCAAGCAGCAAAGGCUCUGAGGUACAGCUGGGACAGCUCUCGUGUCUUGCAGACUUCACUCGCUGUACCCUUCUGGGCUGAGAUGGCAGAACUGUGUUAGCUACGAUUGUGCCUGGAAGGCAUGCCUGUGCCUCUCUAGCAUGUGUUUCCAGUCAGAAGUCUUCCCUGCUGGCUUAGGUGGAUCCAACAGAGAGGAAAACCAAAGCGGAAGCCAUCAUUCAGAGGCAUGAUUGUGAAGGAACCUUGGAGGUCACGUGUUAUAACCUCCUCUGUACUGUAUCACUCAGGAAGCCCUCGUUCUUAUCAUCAAUUGUGGGGAUCAAUCACAAGAUGAUUAUCAUGGCUAUAAGGUACCCGUAUCAAGGGGGAGGUCUAUCUUCAAGGAUUUGGAGGUUUUGUUAAUCUGAGAAUCUCAAGGUGAGUGCAGAUUUAAGACCAUGAUCUAUUCACAUGCCUUCAAGCAACAUGAGAGAGGCUGACAGAGUAAAGGUAUCAGCCUAUCAGACUGCUAUCCUGCAUCUGCCUCUCUUGUGGCCCAAGAAGUGGAUAAGGGCUUUAGCAAAACGCACCUCCUAUUUGUCUCUUUCAUGGAGAGUUAGGCAUGUAGAAUUCACGUUAGUGGCUUCCUUUCUAGGCAGGUUGUAGUUUAGGCGUUGGGAAUUAUGUGGUCGGCUUCCUAGAAAACUUACGGUGAUGACUGAGAGAGAGGGCACACAGGACUGGGGAAGAUCGUCCCGACUGAGACUGGAACUAGUGAAAGUCUGAGAGUGGAGUCUUCAGGAAGGGAUGGGGACAAGUUUUGAGGGGUGAUCAAGAUCACUUGGAAGCCUUUAGUGUGGGAGACUUAAGACGUGGUAAGGCCAGGAUGCUGUGAGGGCAAGACAGAACAGGACAUUUGGGGAAGUAAGGUGACCCUGAAAUUUGUUUUACAGACUUAGACUUUUACAUAAGUCAACAUCAUCAGGCUACAGCUGGAGAUUUCAAGAGAAAUCUACCUUAAAAUGAUGAGAGAGCGGGGUGGAGUCCCAGUAACCGUGGAAAUAGCAACUUAUGAAGAGAAGGUGCACGUUAGAUUUCUUGGAAAGGAGAAAAGGUCAAAUACCUGAGGAUAUUACUUGGUUGUUGAUGAAAUUUCUGUGAAUGCUUAGGUCACGCGUUAACACACAUAGGUUGAGAUCUAAGGAUGGCUGCCCGUCCACCCUUCUGCUUGGAAAGGCACCACUGUCCACGGCACUAAGGGUUAUCAUACGUUGUGAGUUCUCAGGCCUUCCCUCCUGGUUCUUGUCAACCUAGAGCCAGAGUGGAGUCAGGACAUCCCCAGGUCAGCCUCCCUCUGGAGAAUGAGAGGAAAAAAUAUACUUUUGUGUUGUGGGAAGGAUAAAAAAUGUUAGCUUUGAUUUAAACCUAUUUUUUUCUCAAUUUCUGUGCUUAAAUUUCAUUCACCCAGUGGGUUGGCUUGGCUUGGCUGAGACUCCCUUUUGAUUCUGACAAGAUGCUCCUAUCCUGUUAGAGACAUGUUUGACUAGACACAUAUAGUUCAAAGGUGGAAACAUUUCAGGAUUUUCUAAUAGUUUCUUCUCCCCAAAAGUUAUGAGAAUUUUCUCCUGUUUCCUUGGACAUACAUACAGAAGCCGUUAUAAAGAGGACUUUUGUUUCAGUUAUUAGUUUGCACAAUUUUCUUAUUCAUUUAACUCAUGAUGGAAGGUAUACUAAUUAUGAAUGCCUCAUUGCUUGGGAUCAGCUGCCUAAUUUGAGCAGCUCCCUGUUAGGAGUGUUUGGUGAAAAGCAUCUAGGCUUGGUGUAGCUGUUGAGUGACACUGGGGUGUGGCAGAGUUAAGUAAUAGUGAUGCUGGCUGAAUGCCGCUGCUAGAUCGUUAUCCAGGAACUGGCUUAGCUGGCUGGAUGAAAGCACUGAUUGUGGAUUAAAAGGAAGGACAGUGGCAAGGAGGAAAGUCGCCAUAAAACCCAACCCGACCAAACCCACAAUCUGCUCUACAAAAGGCACCAGGAAAGGGCCUAAGGGAGCCUUGAAAUUCACUCCCAAGAUUCAAUCUCUUCAUUGUUAAUAGCAUUUUCAUUUCUUCCAAAUGAUAAGAUCUCUGUGAUGACUCGUUACUUCUCUUCUAAAAUUAAGUGCUAAUCAGCAAGUUAAUUGGAGCCUUUCCUGUUUGGCUUAUAAAUUAAAGUGCCUAUUAGACAUUUAAAUAGACUUUUUUUUUCAGAUUGUAAUCUCCGUUGUGAAAUGUAGUGUGAAUCAUGCA